UACGUAGGUGGCAAGCGUUGUCCGGAUUUACUGGGCGUAAAGAGCGCGCAGGCGGUCGUGCAAGUCGCGUGUGAAAGCCCCCGGCUCAACUGGGGAGGGUCACGCGAUACUGCUCGACUCGAAGGCAGGAGAGGGAAGUGGAAUUCCCGGUGUAGUGGUGAAAUGCGUAGGUAUCGGGAGGAACACCAGUGGCGAAGGCGACUUCCUGGCCUGUUCUUGACGCUGAGGCGCGAAAGCUAGGGUAGCAAACAGG
rnacentral:rRNA from 1 species